rnacentral:tRNA from 1 species
GCCUGGGUUGCUCAGUGGUUGAGCAUCUGUCUUUGGCUCAGGGUGUGAUCCCAGGGUCCUAGGAUCAAGUCCUGCCUCGGGCU